rnacentral:tRNA from 1 species
AAAUUUACAUAGUACAACAGGUACAUUUAUGUAUA